CUUGGUCAUUUAGAGGAAGUAAAAGUCGUAACAAGGUUUCCGUAGGUGAACCUGCGGAAGGAUCACUAGUGAUUAAAUCGAGCGUGUCUUCAUUGACCGCUCACCCUUCUCACCAUCCACAUACACCUGUGCACUGUUUAGCCUGAGCCGUUUCGGUUCAGGUUAUCAUUUCAUACAAACUCUAGUCUUAUGAAUGUAAACGUUUUAAUAACAUAAUAAAACUUUCAACAACGGAUCUCUUGGUUCUCGCAUCGAUGAAGAACGCAGCGAAAUGCGAUAAGUAAUGUGAAUUGCAGAAUUCAGUGAAUCAUCGAAUCUUUGAACGCACCUUGCGCUCCUUGGUAUUCCGAGGAGCAUGCCUGUUUGAGUGUCAUGAAACUCUCACCCUCUAGCUUUCUUAAUCGUGGCUAGCGGCGUGGACGUGAGCGCUGCUGCUUUGUUGCGGCUCGCUCGAAAUGUAUUAGCAGACCCUUUUCGUAAUCGGUUCCACUCAACGUGAUAAGUAUUUCGUUGAGGACAGUUGCAGCAAUGCGGCUGGCCGGGAUAAGAAAGGCAUAGUUGUCAGCUUCUAAUCGCCCUCGGGCAAUUUUUUAUGAUCUGGCCUCAAAUCAGGUAGGACUACCCGCUGAACUUAAGCAUAUCAAUAAGCGGAGGA
rnacentral:misc_RNA from 1 species